ensembl:lncRNA
GAGCAGGAUUUUAGUCAAGAUUUAAACUCAGUUGACCAUUUUGAAAAAAUGGAAGACACUAACCAGAAUAAUGAAACAGAAGAUCAUGGUAGUGAUGGUAAUAGUGGUUAUAGUAGCAAGUCUUAUUUAUUUAAUAUGUUCAAUCAUUUAAGUAAUUUAAAAAAAUUAAAACCUUCAAAAGGAGUAGAUGAAACAGUGGUAAAUUCAAAAUGCAAAGAGACACAUAAACCACCUGAGCAAGUGAAUGAAAAAGAAAAGGAAAGUGGAAGUGAAAGUGAAAGUGAUGAUAAGAACAAAAACGAAAGCGAAAGCGAAAGCGAAAGCGAAAAAGAAAAAGAAAAAGAAAAAGAAAAAGAAAGUGAUAACAAGAAAAAAAACGAAAGCGAAAAAGAAAAGGAAAAAGAAAAGGAAAGCGAAAACGAAAAUGAAAAAAAAGUGAUGACCCACUAUACGCAAAAUGAGAAUAGUACCCUUAUGGAAAUAAAAAAUAAAGAAAAAUUGACAUCUGUAAAUGAAAAUUUAACGAAAGAAAAGUGUAUAAACAAUCACGAAGGUAACACUACCAAACUGGUAAUAACUGAUAAUAAAAAUGCAUUUAGUACUAGUACUUUAAUAAUACCUGAAGCAGACAUAAACAACAAUAAAUGUAAUGGUAGUGUCGUUUUAUAUAAUAGCACUGAUGUUAAUGUUACUCCUUCAAUUAGUUCCAAUUCUUACAUUAAUAGUAGAAAUGUCAGUGAGGACACAAUAAUACUGCCUGUCGAAUUAAACAAAAUGGAAAAAUUCAUACAAGAAAUUAAAAUGAAUAAUAAAAUUUACAACGAAAAUAUGAGCGAAAUUUUAUUAGUAUAUAAUAAUUUAUAUACUUGUUUUUUAGAUAAUAUAUUUUACCUAAGUAAAAAUAAUAAAAAUGAUGAGUAUUCUUAUUUAAAAAAAGAAAUAGAAAAAAUAAAAGAAAAUACAUAUUUAAUAACAGAAUGUUUAGAUUCUUGUAAAACCGAAAUAAAAAAUAAUUUAAAUAUAAAUGACUCUGUUAUGAUUAAUGAAAUGAAACGUUUAUUUUUGGUAGUGUUUCAUACAAAAAUAGAAGGAACAAUUAAUUUGAAUAAAACUGAGACUACUAAAAAUGUUCCCAACAACAACAACAACAACAACAAGAACGACAUCAGUAACAAUCAGAUUGACAAAAAUAUUAUGAAUAAUCGAACAACAUGCAUUGUUUUUACCAUCAUGUGUACAAAUGAAAUUAUAAACAUACUGGAGGAUAUGUAUAAAAAAGUUUUUAUAAAAGUUGAGAAAAGUGAGCAUGAGCACUUAGAAGAAGUUAACCGAGCAACAAAAAGGUUAAGCAAUAUGAGCGCAUUCAUGCAACUUCUUAUAAGAGCGAAUAAUGCAACUUUUACAAUUACUAAUACUACUACUACUGCUGCUACUAUUAAUGGUAAUAAUGAAAGCAAAAAUAGCAGUAACACUAGAAGCAAAAAUAGCAGCAACAAUAUAAGAAAAAAUAACAGUAACAAUAGAAACCAAAUAGAUAGUAAUAAUAGCAACAAAAAUAGUGGAAAAAGUAAUAGCAAAAGUAGUAGCAAAAGUAGUAGCAAAAAUAGUAGUUACAAUAGCAGUUACAAUAGCAGUUACAAUAGCAGUUACAAUGACAGUUACAAUGGCAGUUACACUAGCAAUUACAAUGGAAGCAAAAAUAGCAACAAAAAUAGCAGUAAUAAUAGCAGUAAUAGUAGCAACGGGUGUAGUAACGAUGACUACGUAGUUAUAGCUAAAAGAGAAACAAGAUAUGUAUAUGGAAAUAAAAAAAAUGCAGAAGGAAAAAUCGAAGAAGCAGUAGAAGCAGUAGAAGCAGUAGAAGCAGUAGAAGCAGUAGAAGAAAAAGAAAAAAAAGAAGAACAAAAUGAUAAACAUUCCAAAUUGACGAAAAAAACCACACAUUUUAGUAUACAACGUAAUGUAACUAAUAGCACAAAUAAUAUAAUGAAUAAAAUAAACUUUAAUAAGAAAACUUUAAAUUAUUUUUGUAAAGACAAUGUAGUAACACCAGUAAAUAUAUCAAUUCGUUUAAGUGAAGCAUCAGUCAUGAAUAAUACACAAAUGAAAGAAAAACACUUAAAGAAAGCAACCAACACAAAUGGUAUUGUUAGUAGUAAUAGCGAUAACACUAGUAGCAAUAAAAUAAAUAAUACAAUAAUACUAAUGAAUAAUGAUAAACCAUACUCUACUAAAAAGAUGGUUUAUAAAAAAGGAUUACCUACUGUUUAUAAUAAUAUGAACAAUGGUUUUAGUAACAAUUAUAAUAUAAAUAAUAAUAUUAACAGUAUUACUAAUGCUACUACUACUACUACGACUAAUACUACUACGAAUGCUACUACUAAUGCUACUACUAAUGCUACUACUAAUGCUACUACGAAUGCUACUACUAAUGCUACUACUAAUGCUACUACUAAUGCUACUACUAAUGCUACUACUAAUGCUACUACGAAUGCUACUACGAAUGCUACUACGAAUGCUACUACUACUACGACUACCAAUGCUACUACGAAUGCUACUACUACUACGACUACGACUACCAAUGCUACUACUACUAUUAGUAGUGAUAAUAUGAUUAGAGAAGAACAAGGAAAAGACAAUUAUAAUGACAUGAUGGUAUAUAUUUCUUGGGUUCCCAAGAGUGCUAGGUGUCAAUACCCAUUAGAAUUACCAAAAAACACAGAUGAAAGAAACAAUAUAUCUGAGUAUAUUAAAGCAAAAGAACAAAUGAUUUACAUUUUAAAAAUUAUGGGUUAUGAUGAAGUAGAGAGUGUGUUUUUCCACCCACCAAAAGGAUCACAUAUAAAAAUUAAAUUUAAAACUUUAGAUUGUAUGAACAAGUUUUUAAAAACUUAUAAAAAUACACCUGACAAAUGGAAAGAAGACAUGUUUGUUUUUUUUAACAUUCCUAUGAGAAGUAGCAUAUCAGUAAGAGACUUACGAAUUGAAAGAGCUGUACCUAGGAUGUCAACCAGCGAACUGAUACAACUCUUAUAACUGGAACUACAAUUGGAACUACAAUUGGAACUACAACUACAACAAAUAUGAAUCAUGCCGAUUUCGAUAUCGGAUUAGACACUAAAACUACUCUUAACAUUGGUAUUAAUGGUAUUGAUAAUUGUAGUAGUAAUAAUACCAUCAGCAGUAAUACUGUUAGUACCACUAAUACAGACAAUAACAACAGAAACAAUCAUAUAAUAAAAAGUAAAAUGCAAAAAAUGAAAACA